GGACGGGUGAGUAAUGUCUGGGAAACUGCCUGAUGGAGGGGGAUAACUACUGGAAACGGUAGCUAAUACCGCAUAACGUCGCAAGACCAAAGAGGGGGACCUUCGGGCCUCUUGCCAUCGGAUGUGCCCAGAUGGGAUUAGCUUGUUGGUGGGGUAACGGCUCACCUAGGCGACGAUCCCUAGCUGGUCUGAGAGGAUGACCAGCCACACUGGAACUGAGACACGGUCCAGACUCCUACGGGAGGCAGCAGUGGGGAAUAUUGCACAAUGGGCGCAAGCCUGAUGCAGCCAUGCCGCGUGUAUGAAGAAGGCCUUCGGGUUGUAAAGUACUUUCAGCGGGGAGGAAGGGAGUAAAGUUAAUACCUUUGCUCAUUGACGUUACCCGCAGAAGAAGCACCGGCUAACUCCGUGCCAGCAGCCGCGGUAAUACGGAGGGUGCAAGCGUUAAUCGGAAUUACUGGGCGUAAAGCGCACGCAGGCGGUUUGUUAAGUCAGAUGUGAAAUCCCCGGGCUCAACCUGGGAACUGCAUCUGAUACUGGCAAGCUUGAGUCUCGUAGAGGGGGGUAGAAUUCCAGGUGUAGCGGUGAAAUGCGUAGAG
rnacentral:rRNA from 1 species